UACGUAGGGAGCAAGCGUUGUCCGGAAUCAUUGGGCGUAAAGCGCGCGUAGGCGGCCCGAUAAGUCCGCUGUGAAAGUCAACGGCUCAACUGUUGGAUGCCGGUGGAUACUGUCGGGCUAGAGUACGGAAGAGGCAAGUGGAAUUCCUGGUGUAGCGGUGGAAUGCGCAGAUAUCAGGAGGAACACCGAUGGCGAAGGCAGGUCUCUGGGCCGCAACUGACGCUGAGGAGCGAAAGCAUGGGGAGCGAACAGG
rnacentral:rRNA from 1 species